AUGUGGGCUGACAAUGUGGGCUGACAAUGUGGGUGUGACUCCAAAAGCCAGCAAUGUGGGAAGACAGCAGCAGAAGAAUCGUCACGCCCCCUUGACUAAAGUACCGCUGGGAUUUCCACGGGCUCUUUUCUCAGGCUUGUCACCUUGUGCACAGGUGAUUUUUUUAAUUUAAUUUAAUUUUUUUGAGUAUUAAAUCAUUUUUGGAACAAUAGGAUAAAAACCUUGUAUAACGCUUGUCUACUCCUAAAAGCAAUUUCUAGAAUGCGCAGGGCAAAGGCUUGGUGUUCCCCUUCCACAGGAAAAUGUGUCUGUUCUUGAGCUUGGCUGCACAGGUUGGAUCGGCACCCAGGUUGCCCCAGGGGCCGGCCCCCAGCACACACUCCCAACUCUGUAAGGAGGAAAAAUGCUCUCCCCAGUUUUGCCAAUGAAAAGACUGAGGUCCCAAAGGAGGAAGUGACUUUCCCCCUGCCUGGUCCCACAGCCAGUUCUGGCAGAGCUAAGCCAGCAGAGGUGACCUCCCCAAGCCAGUGCCCGGCUGCCUCUGCCAUUCUCAUUGCUGACAGGGCCACACAUCCCAGGCGCGGCCCACUCAGCCUUUGGAGAAGGAUUCCGUGACUGUGGCGAAAGGAAAAGGCUUCGCUCAGAAGGCCUAAGGGACUUAGGGCCAGGGUCGCAGACCUAGGCCAGGGUAAAGCCGAGACUUGGGCCCCCGUCUCUCUGCCCCCAGAGCUGUGGUUGCCUCUUUCAUUACUUCUUUCUCAACCACCAAGAUGGGCAAGACUGGCACCUGUCCUCCCAACCCACUGUAGCCCCUCAGCUCUGGCAGAAGCUGCCCCCUGCACUCAGAGGAAGUGUCCUCUGGGCAUUUUUGCCCGCGGCCCAGCUCUCAGCCAGUGACCCCCACAUACCUCACCUCAGAUACCCAUAUAGAGAAGGAAGUGGAUGGAGACACGAGACAGCAAAUCAGAAAGGCCGAGAAUAGCAGUGGAACAGAAUCACUGAGAAAUCAGAAAGGCCGAGAACAGCAGUGGAACAGAAUCACCGAGAAAUCAGAAAGGCUGAGAACAGCAGUGGAACAGAAUCACUGAGAAAUCAGAAAGGCUGAGAACAGCAGUGGAACAGAAUCACCGAGAAAUCAGAGAGGCAAAGAACAGCAGUGGAACAGAAUCACCCAGAAAUCAGAAAGGCCGAGAACAGCAGUGGAACAGAAUUAUCGAGAAAGGGCCAGUGCAGAGACCACCACAAAGAGUUAUAUUUUAGCAAAGUGAUGGUGGAGAGGAUGAAAUGUCAGAUGAGAACAGCAUUUAGAACAGGAAGCAGUAACCAGGUGUAGGAAUGGUGGUAAAUUUAGGGUAAACAUAUGGGCCCCUCUGGCACCCGCCACAGACAUCAGUAAUGAUCCCUGUGCUCUUGCUGGCUGAUCCGCAGUACCUUCCGCAGCAUGUUCAGGCCCAAGACCUGCUGAUACGGACAGGAGAUGUGAAGCUUUCUGCCUUUUUGCCAAAGGAGCAAAAAUGAGGAUUCCCUCCCCUCCCCUCUUCCUGUCCUCCUGGGAACAGCUGGGCAGUAUCCUCUCCCUGUCCUGCAGGCCCCCAGGAAGCACCUGGCUUGCAGCCGACUCAGUUUCCAAAAUUUUAAUUCUCACACUCCCUCCCCCCCAGCAAAAAUAACCAAUCGAGGCUUGCUAAGCCCACUUCCCUCCAUCCCAUUCCCUUUAUAGAUUUAUAAAGUACAUGAUGUAUUUAUGUAUAAAAUAUAUUGAAGAGGAAAUAUUGACUAUAUACAUAGAUACACACAUUUAUAUCACUUCAGGUAGUCCUUGCAGUCACUUUGAGAGUCCUCCUAUUUCCCAGCCUAGGUUACUGAAAUGCAGAGGAGUCCAUUUGCCCACCGUGCCCCUGUGGUCAGGGAGUAAAGCCGCGAUUGCAGCAGCAGCUGACCACAGGUUGAGCCACCAAUCCCCCUGUGCCUUCCUUCACUGGGGAUUGUCCCCUACUUGCCACCUGACAUAGGAAGAGGCAGACAAAGCCAGGGGUGUUUCCCAGAAGAGAAAAGCAGGGCCCUGUGGAGCGGUGGGGGGCUUCCACCAGAUCACAUGGCGCACAGUGCAGAGGCGCGUCGGGGCCCAGGGCUGCUCCGUCAGAAGCCAGCAGGAGUCCCUAUCUUGCAUGUCCUGAAGCCUUCAACUCUGAUGCGCACAUCACCAGCCUGCCACCUGCGGCCAGCCAGCGUGCCACAGCCCCACACGACCAGGUCCUGUUGCUAGAAAUAGCCCCAUAUUUGAUUGCAUUUGUAGAUGGAGAAACUGAGGCAUAGAGUAUUGGCAGCUUGUUUCCUGGUGCAUUGCAGAGCCACAGGUUCAGGGGAUCUGGGAGCCCCUCUUCUGUCCCCCUCUCCCUGACACCUACUGCCCCAGCAAGUCCCCAUGACUUUGCCAAUCUCAGUGAUCAUCCUGUGUUUUUACCAGAGACCAUCUGGGCACUUAUUCAAACAAGCAGAGACGUUUAGGGAACCCACACUCCCAUUCCCGCGAACACGGCAGCACUUCUUCCUGUGAAUGGAACCUUUUAUUUUUGAUGUCCAUAAAUCGCAGAGGUGGGAAUGGAGCUGACGUGUGACCAUGCGGUUUGGGCGUUUUGCACUCUGGAUGGUUUGGAAGCAAUCAGCUCAGGCCCUGAGUGCUGAAUUGUGAGCAAAUUAAGCAUCCCUGCCCACCUUGGAGGGUGAAUUAGCUCACUUAAGCCUUAGAAGAGUCCCAGGAAGCACGUACUACUGUUUCCCUUUUCCAGAUAAGACAGGUGUGGCUCAGAAGGGCUCUGUGACUCCCUGCGGUCUCACAGCAGAGUCGGCCAUAGCGUCAAGCCCCUCCCUGCUGGGCGGGAGAAGGCUGUCCCCCGGAGAAACACCAAGUGCUCAUCUCUUGACCACAGGCAGAGCUUCAGGGGUAACGAAGCCACCGCAGCUUGUCGGAACAGAGAGACCAUUUAAUGGUCGAAGAGUGCGGUGCAGGAGCCGAGCACACCAGGGUUUGCACUGUGUCCUGGCUGUGUGGCUUCUAAGUGCUUGCCGUCUCUGUGCCUGGUUUCUUCACUGUAAGCCUUUCACAGAUUAUUAUUUAUUUAAGCCUCACAGCAGUGCUGUGGGAGCCCUGCUCUUACCGUCAUCCCCACUGUACCGAUGGGGAAGCCGAGGUGAGCGGAAGAGAGACACCUGUGCAGGCUCACGAAGUUGAGAAGAGGUGGAGUCGGGACUCGAACCCAGGCCCUGUGACUCCAGGGCUCUGACCCACUAUAUCCCUUAUCUGCUCCUCCUAGAACCGCGGGGUCCCUGAGGGUGCAGGGAGAUGUCUCCUGUGGCCAACGGAGCACAGCUGCCUCACUCAGGAAUGGGGUUGGAAGUCAUUUUUACUUUCUUCGUUUCACUUUUCUAAAGUUUUAUUUUUUCAUUUGGAAUAAGCCACAUCAUUUGUGUAAUUAGAAAAAGACCACAUUAACUGACCCCCGACCAAAUAAAAUAAAAGUAAAAUAAAAUAAAAUAAAAAGCCAGCUACCUUUGACAAAGGUCUAAGGAUCUG
rnacentral:lncRNA from 1 species